AUUGAACGCUGGCGGCAGGCCUAACACAUGCAAGUCGAGCGGUAGCACAGAGAGCUUGCUCUCGGGUGACGAGCGGCGGACGGGUGGGUAAUGUCUGGGAAACUGCCUGAUGGAGGGGGAUAACUACUGGAAACGGUAGCUAAUACCGCAUAACGUCGCAAGACCAAAGUGGGGGACCUUCGGGCCUCAUGCCAUCAGAUGUGCCCAGAUGGGAUUAGCUGGUAGGUGGGGUAACGGCUCACCUAGGCGACGAUCCCUAGCUGGUCUGAGAGGAUGACCAGCCACACUGGAACUGAGACACGGUCCAGACUCCUACGGGAGGCUGCAGUGGGGAAUAGUGCACAAUGGGCGCAAGCCUGAUGCAGCCAUGCCGCGUGUGUGAAGAAGGCCUUCGGGUUGUAAAGCACUUUCAGCGGGGAGGAAGGCGGUGAGGUUAAUAACCUCAUCGAUUGACGUUACCCGCAGAAGAAGCACCGGCUAACUCCGUGCCAGCCGCCGCCGUAA
rnacentral:rRNA from 1 species